CACAGCCGACCUGUCCCCAGGCCCAGCUGCAGGGCAGCCCUCCAGAGCCAGGGGAGCAGCAGACACCUGCCUGGCCCAGGGCUCUGCAGGGGUGGAUCCAGCCCUGGGUCACCAGGCCCAGGCACUCCCUUUGCCAUUUGCGGCCCAAGAAGUUUACCUUUAAAAAAACAAACAAACAAACAAAAAAAACAGGACGAGGUCGCCCAGAGGCCAAGCCUCCCGGCCGGGACCCCAUUCCCCAGGUGUGCUGCUGGCUUCCUCCUCCCUGGGCCAGUCCUGCCACAGAAGCCUGCGAUAGAAGAAACCAAAUCAGAGAGAACUGCAAGGGGGCCAGGCGCGGAGGCUCACGCCUGUAAUCCCAGCACUCUGGGAGGCCGAGGCAGGUGGAUGACCUUAGGAGUUUGAGACCAGCCCGGCCAACAUGGUGAAAUCCCUUCUUUACUAAAAAUACAAAAAACUUAGCCGAGCAUGCUGGUAGGCACCUGUAAUCCCAGCUACUCAGGAGCCUAAGGCAGGACGAUCACUUGAACCCGGGAGGCGGAGGUUGCAGUGACCCGAGAUUGAGCCAUUGCACUCCAGCCUGGGCAGCAAGAGUGAAACUCCGUCUCAAAAAAAAAAAAAAAGAGAGAAGAGANCCGCAAAGGGACAUUCCAAUGGCAAAAGAGAAUGAGGAGGCCACCAGGUCCUCCCUGGCAGGGGCCUGCCAAACAGAAGCCCCUGCACCUGGAGGGGCCUUGUGAUGUCACCAAAGCCAGCACCAGGAGGAGGUGUGGAGCUUGGUGACAAGGCCACUGAAUGCUGGCUGCUGGAAGCAGCUGUGCCUCCGCCCCUCGGCCAGGCCCAGCACCGGGCUGAGACACUCUAGCUGCCCAGGGCGGCACCCAUGCACCCCAAGGCCCCGAGCACUGAGGGCCCCAGCGCAGACGCACCAGGGAGGGCACUGAGGCCACGCAAACACGGCAGAGGACAAAAAGCAGCGACAGCCAGGCCGCCACAGUGACACGCAGGGCCUCCUGAGUUCUCGGGGCAGGGACCGCACUGUUGCAGGAGCAGGCAGAGCCAGCGGAGGCCACACGUGGGCAGCCCCAGCCCCAGCCGCUCAGCCCACAGGACCCUGGGGAACGGGGGCUCUGAACUAGGGAUGGAAAGCUGCUGUCCUUCAUCUUGUACCAGUUACAAAUAUAUCAACUGUAGAAAAGGGAGACUCAGAAGGGACAGUUCACUGUGCUCUUUGAUCAAGAGUC
rnacentral:lncRNA from 1 species